CCAUAAAACCUGAUUUGUGUUUCAUUUAUAAGCAUACCAAAUGAAGCCACGGAAGGGGCUGUGAGGAUUGCAAUGUGGUACACAUUUCUGGAACAUGCGUUUGGACAUGUAAGGAUUUCAGCGGUUCCUGCAAAGCAAACUUCUCUGGAGGAGCCCGAGAGACCUCUUCUGUACAGAACAGCCUUACACCCCAUAGGGCAGUCUGUCAGCAACGCAUUUUAAAGGGGAGCACAUAGACUCCAUGUAAACUGCCCGAUGCUUCCCAGAAGGCUGGCGGCCCCUGCAUCGCUCUGAACUGAAGAGGAGCUGAAGUCACAGAAAGCCAGCCACUACUCGAUUGCCCAAGAAGCAGUCGUCGCACUGGCCCAGCUUCACAGCGGCUCUCGAGUGCUGAGAAAACCCACUGGAAGGGCUUCCUUUCCCUACUCUGCACAUGAGAAUAGCCAUUCCUGUGUCAGUUUUGCUUCUUUCUGGGCGCUCUGAUUAGGAUUUAUUUCCUUAGCUAGAGAAAAUAAAGGGACCUUACAAGGCCUAAUUAGAGCGACUCCUCUCUGAUGUAUUCAAGACACCCUGCUGAAUUGGACUGGCGAGUCCCUGUGUAUUGUUAUUAUUGUUGUUUUAAAGAAGCCAUUUCUGACCAGGGUGGCUGAAGGAGACGCCCUUUGUCGGCCUCUCAUGGUCCUGGCCCUCGCCAACAGAACUGUUCCUGAACUGCUGUGUUUAUUUGAGUUAUGUAAUAUAAACAGCUCCAAGGAGA